ensembl:lncRNA
GUAUAUUUCUCGGGGUCACAGAGCUGGUGACGGGCAGAGGCUGGAUUCAACCCUAGACAGCCCAAGAGCCCACUCUCUUAGCCAGAGCCUGGAGGGCCUUGUCUCAUCGAGGGUCCCCAUCCCCAGGCCUCCAUCACCCAAUCAUCCGCUGCUGCUGGAUUUGCCCUGAUGUUCAGUGGUCCUUGCUGUGUAACGAGUAUCCCACAUGGGCGGCUGGGAUCCGAGCAGGACUCUCCUGAGAAGGAACUUGCCAAGAGAACUGAGAAGGAACUAUCCAAGAGAACUGGGCAGAGGCUUGGGCUUGUUGGGACACAGCCUCGGAAUCACACAGCAUUCCUGCUGCCGCAGUUGUAGCGUAAGCGUUCUAGUUUCGCCAUCAGGGAUCAAACUCCGGCCCCCUGCCUUGGGAGAGCGAAGCCUUAACCACCGGACCACUAGGAAGUCCGAGCACUGGUGGUUUCUUCAGGGUUCCUGAGUCUGAGAACACCUGUGUUAGACGAAGGCCUUUGUGAUCACUGGGCUAGACGACCUUCCCUCUCCAGAAACCCAAGAACUGCAGAGUCACUUGUGCAAAAAACCACACAUGCCUGAGGGUCCAGGUGUUAACAGGAGGUGGGUCACAUAGACCCAUCCGGCUAUCAAUCAGCCACGCAACUGAAAUUCCAGGCUCCAGCAAUGAAACCAGGUGCACAUCAUCAGUCUUGGCAUUUGUGCAAAACCGUCCUAACAGGCCAGCAGGGCACGGUCCACUGCUCCAGGCGAACACAACACCAUCCGUCACUGACAUCACAGGCCUCCUGGGAACCAUGCUCCCAAGGGUGGGCCGAGGAUUGGUCAGGGCGCCAGGUUUCCUUGGAGACACGCAGGGAACAAGCAACCAGACUUGCUGCGUAGGUUCUUCCCAGCAUUUUAACAUCGUUACGCGGGCAUCAGCCACAGUUACAGGUGCAUCUAGAGGCUUGGGGCUUGGAAACCACUGGGCCACUGGCUCCAUCACUGUGCCUCCCGUCAAGAGGAAGUGGGAGAACAUGCUGGAAAAGCAACCAGAUGACCUCCUUUCAAAUCAUAUCACUCUUCCAAGCCCAUGAUCUCAUGUGUC